GACAGAGGGUGCAAACGUUGUUCGGAUUUACUGGGCGUAAAGCGCGUGUAGGCGGCUUCGCAAGUUGGAUGUGAAAGCCCACGGCUCAACCGUGGAAGCGCAUCCAAAACUGCGUCGCUUGAGUCCCGGAGAGGAAGGUGGAAUGCUUGGUGUAGAGGUGAAAUUCGUAGAUAUCAAGCAGAACACCUGCGGCGAAGGCGGCCUUCUGGACGGUGACUGACGCUGAGACGCGAAAGCGUGGGGAGCAAACAGG
rnacentral:rRNA from 1 species